GAUGAACGCUGGCGGCGGGCCUAAUACAUGCAAGUCGAGCGAACAGACGAGGAGCUCGCUCCUCUGACGUUGGCGACGGGCGGGUGAGUAACACGUGGAUAACCUACCUAUAAGACUGGGGUAACUACGGGAAACCGGAUACAAUACCGGAGAAUAUAUUGAACGGGUGGGAUCAAUAGAGAAAGACGGUUUUGCUGACACUUAGAGAUGGUUCCGCGCCGCAUUAGCUAGUUGGUAAGGUAACGGCUUACCAAGGCAACGAUGCGUAGCCGACCUGAGAGGGUGAUCAGCCACACUGGAACUGAGACACGGUCCAGACUCCUACGGGAGGCAGCAGUGGGGAAUCUUCGACAAUGGGCGAAAGCCUGACGGAGCAACGCCGCGUGAGUGAUGAAGGUCUUCGGAUCGUAAAACUCUGUUAUUGGGGAAGAACAAAUGUGUAAGUAACUAUGCCCGUCUUGACGGUACCUAAUCAGAAAGCCACGGCUAACUUCGUG
rnacentral:rRNA from 1 species